rnacentral:rRNA from 1 species
GAUGAACGCUGGCGGCGUGCCUAAUACAUGCAAGUCGAGCGAAUGGAUUAAGAGCUUGCUCUUAUGAAGUUAGCGGCGGACGGGUGAGUAACACGUGGGUAACCUGCCCAUAUGACUGGGAUAACUCCGGGAAACCGGGGCUAAUACCGGAUAACAUUUUGAACCGCAUGGUUCGAAAUUGAAAGGCGGCUUCGGCUGUCACUUAUGGAUGGACCCGCGUCGCAUUAGCUAGUUGGUGAGGUAACGGCUACCCAAGGCAACGAUGCGUAGCCGACCUGAGAGGGUGAUCGGCCACACUGGGACUGAGACACGGCCCAGACUCCUACGGGAGGCAGCAGUAGGGAAUCUUCCGCAAUGGACGAAAGUCUGACGGAGCAACGCCGCGUGAGUGAUGAAGGCUUUCGGGUCGUAAAACUCUGUUGUUAGGGAAGAACAAGCGCUAGUUGAAUAAGCUGACACCUUGACGGUACCUAACCAGAAAGCCACGGCUAACUACGUGCCAGCAGCCGCGGUAA